CCUACGGGGGGCAGCAGUGAGGAAUAUUGGUCAAUGGGAGAGAUCCUGAACCAGCCAAGCCGCGUGAGGGAAGACGGCCCUAUGGGUUGUGAACCUCUUUUGUCGGAGAACAAAACCCGGGACGAGUCCCGGACUGCGUGUAUCCGAAGAAAAAGCAUCGGCAAACUCCGUGCCAGCAGCCGCGGUAAUACAGAGGAUGCGAGCGUUAUCCGGAUGUAUUGGGUUGAAAGGGUGCGUAGGCGGUCCGUUAAGUCAGCGGUAAAAUGGCGGGGCUCAACCCCGUCGAGCAGUUGAAACUGGCAGACUUGAGUGGGCGAGAAGUACGCGGAAUGCGCGGUGUAGCGGUGAAAUGCAGAGAUAUCGCGAAGAACUCCGAUUGCGAAGGCAGCGUACCGGCGCCAGACUGACGCUGAGGCACGAAAGCGUGGGGAUCGAACAGGAUUAGAUACCCGAGUAGUC
rnacentral:rRNA from 1 species